AGAGUUUGAUCAUGGCUCAGGAUGAACGCUGGCGGUAUGCUUUACACAUGCAAGUCGUACGAGAGUUUUUAACUCAAGUGGCGGACGGGUGAGUAACACGUAAGAAUUUGCCUUUAGGAGGGGGAUAACAACUGGAAACGGUUGCUAAUACCCCAUAUGCUUUCGAGUGAAACGGUUUUUCCGCCUAAAGAGAAGCUUGCGGCUGAUUAGCUAGUUGGUAAGGUAAUGGCUUACCAAGGCGACGAUCAGUAUCUGGUUUGAGAGGAUGAUCAGACACACUGGAACUGAGACACGGUCCAGACUCCUACGGGAGGCAGCAGUAAGGAAUAUUGGUCAAUGGGCGGGAGCCUGAACCAGCCACGCCGCGUGCAGGAAGAAGGCCCUAUGGGUUGUAAACUGCUUUUAUACGGGAAGAACGGGCCUCAUGCGUGGGGUUUUGACGGUACCGUAUGAAUAAGCAUCGGCUAACUCCGUGCCAGCAGCCGCGGUAAUACGGAGGAUGCAAGCGUUAUCCGGAUUCAUUGGGUUUAAAGGGUGCGCAGGCGGGCUAAUAAGUCAGGGGUGAAAUUCCACGGCUCAACUGUGGGGCUGCCUUUGAUACUGUUAGUCUUGAGUUUAGUUGAGGUGGGCGGAAUGUAGCAUGUAGCGGUGAAAUGCAUAGAUAUGCUACAGAACACCGAUAGCGAAGGCAGCUCACCAAGUUAUAACUGACGCUCAUGCACGAAAGCGUGGGGAUCAAACAGGAUUAGAUACCCUGGUAGUCCACGCUGUAAACGAUGAUCACUCGUUGUUGGCGAUACACAGUCAGCGGCUAAGCGAAAGUGAUAAGUUAUCCACCUGGGGAGUACGACCGCAAGGUUGAAACUCAAAGGAAUUGACGGGGGCCCGCACAAGCGGAGGAACAUGUGGUUUAAUUCGAUGAUACGCGAGGAACCUUACCUGGGCUCGAACGCAGAAUGACAGGUGCCGAAAGGUAUUUUUCCUUCGGGACAUUCUGCGAGGUGCUGCAUGGUUGUCGUCAGCUCGUGCCGUGAGGUGUUGAGUUAAGUCUCUUAACGAGCGCAACCCCUAUUCUUAGUUGCCAGCGGGUAAUGCCGGGGACUCUAAGGAAACUGCCUACGCAAGUAGUGAGGAAGGUGGGGAUGACGUCAAAUCAGCACGGCCCUUACGUCCAGGGCUACACACGUGCUACAAUGGUUGGUACAGAGGGUUGCUACCUGGUGACAGGAUGCUAAUCUCUAAAACCAAUCUCAGUUCGGAUCGAAGUCUGCAACUCGACUUCGUGAAGCUGGAUUCGCUAGUAAUGGCGCAUCAGCUACGGCGCCGUGAAUACGUUCCCGGGUCUUGUACACACCGCCCGUCACAUCAUGGGAGCCGAUUGCACCCGAAGUCGUCGAUUCAACUAGCAAUAGAGAUAGACGCCCAAGGUACGAUUGGUGACUGGGAUGAAGUCGUAACAAGGUAACGUA
rnacentral:rRNA from 1 species